rnacentral:rRNA from 1 species
UACGUAGGGUGCAAGCGUUGUCCGGAAUUAUUGGGCGUAAAGAGCUCGUAGGCGGUCUGUCGCGUCGAAUGUGAAAACCCGGGGCUCAACCCCGGGCCUGCAUUCGAUACGGGCAGACUAGAGUUCGGUGGGGGAGUCUGGAAUUCCUGGUGUAGCGGUGAAAUGCGCAGAUAUCAGGAGGAACACCGGUGGCGAAGGCGGGACUCUGGGCCGAUACUGACGCUGAGGAGCGAAAGCGUGGGGAGCAAACAGG